rnacentral:rRNA from 1 species
CAUCGGUGAAGUCAAACCAACAAAGAGGUGAUGUAUCACCAGAAGAAGCACCGGCCAAGUUCGUGCCAGCAGCCGCGGUAAU